GAUCCUGGCUCAGGAUGAACGCUAGCUACAGGCUUAACACAUGCAAGUCGAGGGGAAACGAUAGAGAAAGCUUGCUUUUUCUAGGCGUCGACCGGCGCACGGGUGAGUAACGCGUAUCCAACCUGCCCAUCACUUGGGGAUAACCUUGCGAAAGUAAGACUAAUACCCAAUGACGUCUCUAGAAGACAUCUGAAGGAGAUUAAAGAUUUAUCGGUGAUGGAUGGGGAUGCGUCUGAUUAGCUUGUUGGCGGGGUAACGGCCCACCAAGGCGACGAUCAGUAGGGGUUCUGAGAGGAAGGCCCCCCACAUUGGAACUGAGACACGGUCCAAACUCCUACGGGAGGCAGCAGUGAGGAAUAUUGGUCAAUGGACGAGAGUCUGAACCAGCCAAGUAGCGUGCAGGAUGACGGCCCUAUGGGUUGUAAACUGCUUUUAUAAGGGAAUAAAGUGAGUCUCGUGAGACUUUUUGCAUGUACCUUAUGAAUAAGGACCGGCUAAUUCCGUG
rnacentral:rRNA from 1 species